rnacentral:rRNA from 1 species
GACGAACGCUGGCGGCGUGCUUAACACAUGCAAGUCGAACGGAAAGGCCCUGCUUUUGUGGGGUGCUCGAGUGGCGAACGGGUGUGUAACACGUGAGUAACCUGCCCUUGACUUUGGGAUAACUUCAGGAAACUGGGGCUAAUACCGGAUAGGAGCUCCUGCUGCAUGGUGGGGGUUGGAAAGUUUCGGCGGUUGGGGAUGGACUCGCGGCUUAUCAGCUUGUUGGUGGGGUAGUGGCUUACCAAGUCGUUGACGGGUAGCCGGCCUGAGAGGGUGACCGGCCACAAUGGGACUGGGACACGGACCAGACGCCUACGGGAGGCAGCAGUGGGGAAGUUUGGACAACGGGCGCAAGCCUGAUCCAGCCAUUGCGCGUGCAGGACGAAGGCCUUCGGGUUGUAAACUGCUUUUGUACGGAACGAAAAGGCUCUGGCUAAUACCUGGGGCGCAUGACGGUACCGUAAGAAUAAGCACCGGCUAACUACGUG